GCGUGGAGCAUGUGGCUUAAUUUGACUCAACGCGGGAAAUCUUACCGGGUCCGGACACACUGAGGAUUGACAGGCAAUAUAUGUGACUCUUCGGAGUUUGCAUUGUUAAAUAUGCUAGUCCUUUCAUGAUUAUGUGAUAGGUGGUGCAUGGCCGUUCUUAGUUCGUGGAGUGAUCUGUCUGCUUAAUUGCGUUUCAAAUUACUUAUAAGGUAGCAAUACGCGAUGAAGCUUUCAAUAGUCCUCACGGAUUCACUUGAGUCUCUCGCUUCGCUAUCCUUUCGAAUGCAACGAACGUGACCGCAACCUCUUGUUGCCUUCGUUUAACAUCCUGCAGCUCGCUGUGGGUACUGAGGGCUUCACUCGGUGACUUUGGGCUGAGCAAUCGGUCUUUUGAUCUGAGUAAACUAGAGGGACCGCUGUCAACUUCUUAAACCANAGGAAGGUUGCGGCAAUAACAGGUCUGUGA
rnacentral:rRNA from 1 species